GACGAACGCCGGCGGCGUGCUUAACACAUGCAAGUCGAACGGAAAGGCCCUGCUUUUGUGGGGUGCUCGAGUGGCGAACGGGUGAGUAACACGUGAGUAACCUGCCCUUGACUUUGGGAUAACUUCAGGAAACUGGGGCUAAUACCGGGUAGGAGCUCCUGCUGCAUGGUGGGGGUUGGAAAGUUUCGGCGGUUGGGGAUGGACUCGCGGCUUAUCAGCUUGUUGGUGGGGUAGUGGCUUACCAAGGCUUUGACGGGUAGCCGGCCUGAGAGGGUGACCGGCCACAUUGGGACUGAGAUACGGCCCAGACUCCUACGGGAGGCAGCAGUGGGGAAUAUUGCACAAUGGGCGGAAGCCUGAUGCAGCAACGCCGCGUGCGGGAUGACGGCCUUCGGGUUGUAAACCGCUUUCGCCUGUGACGAAGCGUGAGUGACGGUAAUGGGUAAAGAAGCACCGGCUAACUACGUG
rnacentral:rRNA from 1 species